CUUUAGAUGGGUUAGCUAUCGAUCUUUUCUCCUUCCCUUAAAGCUCCUGCCAUCCCCAUCCUUCACUGCAUCUGAGAUUGCCAGCAAUGGAGCUAUCAUUUCUUCCGAAACCAGAGUUUUCAGCUUACAAUCAUAUACCCCUAUUUCUUGGUUCUUCUCUACCAUCAUGGCUGUCAAUAAUUGUCCCAAUUUCUUCUUGUUCAAGUAGUGUAGCUGCAAGACCUUUUUUCGCCUCUGCUCAUCCCAUUUUUCUAUCAUCAAGUUGUGCCUCUCCAUCAUUAUUCCCAUACUUCUCUAGAACUCAAAUUUCAUGGCUCCUAUUCCCUCUCUUAUUUCUGAAUUCAUUUUCUCAAGCUUUACUUUCAAAUUACUAACCCGAUCUUCGAAUUCAUUUUCUUCAUCAGAAGUAAUGUCUUAGAUGUCAUGUCUAAGAUAGUGCUCUGAUACCAUUUGAUAGGAUACCAAUUGAAAGAACAAGUUCAAAUGUUGAAUAAAUGACUUUUUGAUCGAAAUAAAGGACGAUUACAGAAAUUGAAAAAUAAUUCUAAGCAUUUGAGAGGCUUAGAUCUCUCCUCCUAACUUAACAACUAAUUCUCUGCAUGAAUAUCCCCAAUCCCUCCCACAUUACAUUUAUAGUCAACUAAUCACACCAUUAUUCCCCAAAAUACCUUUGCCCCUAACUGAAUCUACUCUAACUGAAUAAGCUUCUCGAUUCUUCUAGGUGCUUCCUUGUUGAUAGGAGUCUAUCAUAACCACCUUGAUAGAAAACAAAUUAUUGUCCAUGUAGAGAAGUUAAAUCUUAUAUAGCUAAAGGGUAUGUGCUUGGCUAGGAAUUAAGCAUAUAAAAAUUUAACAAGAAUAUUCCGCAUAUAGGGUUUCUUUUUCAUUUAGUUUUGUUAUUUAUAUCUUUCUUUUUUCUUUUUCCAUCGUGUUUCCUGAUUAGGGUAGCAAGAAAUUGAGGGGUCUUGGGUGCUUAUUGCAGUUUUGAUGUUAUCUUGUGAUUAUAUUGGAAAGGUGUAAAUCUGGGACGAUGGACAAUUUUAGUUGUUAUCGAACAUUCACUAUUGUUUGCUUGGUUAUGGCUUUUCAAUCCUUUAGUCGGUAGACAAUACACUACAAACCUGGGGGUGGCUCCUCCUCCUACCAUCAGACUUCAAGAGGCUUGGACCCCAACCUUCUACAUGUAGUAAGCAUGGUUCCGUCACUUUUCUAUGUAGCCAACUCCAUCAUACUGCAUUCAACAUAUUGAAAUGCUAUAAAGUUAUUUUUCAGUUGCCUUAUUGAAAAAUU
rnacentral:lncRNA from 1 species